rnacentral:lncRNA from 1 species
UGGAAGCGGAAACCAGAAGCCUAAUCCAGAAAAAUAAAGCUUCCGAUGCCAAGAAACUGAAUGACAUAAAAAGAGACAUGGCCCAUCUAGAAUGGUAUAAGAAGAAAUCGGAAAUGGGUUACUACGAUUGCUUCAAAAAUCAGGGGUCUAAAAGGGACAUCAACGUUGAACAAUUUAGGGGAAACCUCACAAUGUACUGGGAAGACAUGGUUGCACAAGUACAGAGGAAGCCCCAGAAGGAAGGAGCAACAUUUCGAACCCGUUGGUUCUAUGCAGGGACAGUUUAUAGGAGAAUGGUUGAACCACUGGACAUUGCUGCCUUCUACAGAGAGGGUGGAACAGACUACAUAAACAAUGGAAGAUCUCUUCAUUACAAGCUGUUGCAGCAAUGGUAUGAAGAAGAUGUGAAACCCCCCUCUAGAGAUAAGCUUGAUUCCAAGAAGCAAAAGGUGUCUGGUAUCCUAACUGAGGAUUCUUUGUUUUGGGCACAUGUGGAGGAGGCCAUCUUGUCAUGCGAAUUGCUCAAGAGUCAAAACUGUACUCUUGAGCAGGGAAAAUCAUCAUGGGAUAAUCUGGUUAAGUUCGAGGAGUAUGUAAUGGAACAUAUUAACAACUAUGCAGCGUCCCCUGAGAUUUUCUCGAGGGAAAGCAGCUUCAUGAAAUGGUGGGGACUGUAUGAGGGCUACAUAGAUACUUGCAGUAAUUCCCAUGGGUCGCCAUUGAUCAACUUCAUGAAGAAACGUAGCUAUAUGAAGUAUGGUUAGAGGGGCAAUCCAGUUUGUGUGUUGUGUUUGUUGUUUUGUGAGCGUUCAAUGGAUAAAACUAGAAAGAGUGACCUUUUUCCCUUUUUCUUGGUUGCUGCCCAUAUUCUCAGCACUAUUUUCUUCCUUCUUUUCCUCUGUUUUUUUGUUAAGAAAUGAAUAUUAUGAUGUUGCUGGGAUGCACUUUCAUUGUUGUUCUAUUACAUUGUGUUUUAUUUAUAUCCUAAACAAAUAAAUCAAAACAAGAAAAUCAAAUAAGACUUAAAGAGUCUUUUCCUUCAAAAAAAAAAAUGGGGAAAAAGAAAAACAUUUUUGUUUAGAUUCAACUCCACCAAAACUUGCAACAACUUCCCAUUGAAAAAUUCCUUUUAAGCUUCUGAAUGAUAUAAAACCAGAUAUGUUCCAGCUAGAAUGGUACAAGAAAGAAAUCAAAAGAUGAGUACAGUGGGUUAUUAUGACAGCUUUAGAAACCUGGGGUGUAAAAGAGACAUUAAAAUGGAACCGAUGGGAAGACAUGGUAGAACACGUAGAGAGGAAGCCUCACCAGGAAGGGGCAGCUUUGCAAACCCUCUGGCUCUGUACAGGAACGAAUUAUAGAAAGAUGGUUGAACCACUUGACAUUGUUCCCUACCACAGAGAGGGUGGAAGACACUACAUAACAUUACACGCUAUUGGAGCAAUGAUGCAAUGAAGAGGAGAAGGGGGCUUUGUCUUCUCAUGCAAAUUGCUCUCAGAGCUCAGAACCUACUCCUGAAGGGAAAGAAUCAUCAUUGAGUGAUCUGGUUAAGUUUGAGGAUUUAUUUAUAUAAUUGAACUGAUUGGAAGCUAUGCAGUGUCGGCCCCCGCCCGAGCAGCUUCAUGAAACGGUGGAAAGAGUUGGAAGAAGUCAUAGAUACUUGCUAUAGGAGCUUCAUGAAGUAUGGAGAGGUGUGGCAUAGAUACUUGCAGUCUCUGAAUUUCCCAAAUCCAAUUUCAGAUUGUGUAUUUAGAUUCGUGGAACUUGUUUUCUUGCUUUUUGUUAGGUACAAUUGAGAUGGGCUGAACCGAAAGGCCCGCCAGGAUGAACAAUAUAAUGGGCCUGAAUUUUAAACCAGCGGAUGGGCUUUGUACUGGAUUCAGCUGUCUGAGCCCAAUGAGUAUUGAAUGUAUUUCUGUAUAAAAUUAAAUUUUUAACAUUGAAAUAUAAGGACUUACUUAAAAACACAUUUGGUAACUUUUUUUUUUUUAUGGUUAAUAAUAGAUUUAAAAAAAAAUUAAAAAUAUAUAAUUUUUUAGGAUAAAUUUGAGGCAUGUUUAGGUAUUUUUCGUGGUAAAGAGUUUUGAGAAGCAAUGGGAAAUAUACAGAAUACUUUAAAAACUUUUGCAUAAGUAAGAUACUUACACGAGGCUUUCAUGAAAAAUAAAUUGAUAAAAACAAUUCUCAUAUUUAAAUUUCGAAACAUAAAACAACUCAGAACUGUUUUUAAAAAUUGUUCUUAAAAAUAGUUUUCUAUUAAGUCACAUUCAAGGAUGCUUUUAUCUUUUAUUUUUCUAUGUUUCAUCCUUGCAUAAAUGGAGUACAAAGACAUAAGUUAAUCUAAUUAACAAAUAUAGAUAAUCAUCCGAUAAAAGAGUAAAUUAGGUGAUGAUCUCUUUAUAUAUGCAAGUAAUGGAAUGAAUGUGAUGAAAAAUAAAAUAAAAAAGUAAGGGGAGAAAUGUUGUAAAUAAAGUGUUUUUAUUGUAGUUCAACGACCUAUCCACUUCCGCACCUUGACAUAUUUCACAAUUUUAAAAGUUUUCUUAAUCAUGAUUCUCUUUAUUAUUCUUUAAGUCCGGAUUUCUUAUGUUUCAAUAGACUUUUACAAUCACUAAGAUAGUGUUUGUUUUUUCACUUAAUUCUAAAUAUAACUUAAAACUAAAUAAUAUUUAAUAAUAUCAGGAUUAGGUUGUUUUUUUUAUAACAUUUUAUUUCUAUAUAAUAUUAAAAAGUAAAGAAAAAUCAAUAUAUUAUUUUUUUCAUUUAAAAAAAGUCAAAUAUUUUGACUUUUUUUUAAGCUAAAAAUUUAUAAUAAAAAAUAAAAAACAAACAAACAAACAAACAACUUAAAGUGUAAAAAUAGAUUGUUUUCAAUAAAAAUUUAAAAAAAAACAAACACCUUCUAAAUAAAAUUCCUUAACCACUCGUUCAAUAGCUCCUUUAAGCACAAAAUGUAUUGAAGUGCUCACAAUGAAAAGAUAAACAAGUUUUGAUUCAAUAUAAUUUUGGGUUAUCUAAUUAAAAGGGUCAUUGAAAACCCAAUUUUAGAAAUAUAACCCUUCAUCAUUUUUUUAUCUCGUGUUAACAAAAAUGCUCUUAUUAUUUUCUUAUAAAAAUAAUCAUUUCUUUUAAAACACACUAUAAAUACUCCAAAUAGCCAAGGGCUUUUAUGUAAAAAAAAAUGAAUUACUCUUCAAAUAAAAAUAUUGGAGGGAAUAAAUUCACAAAUAUGAGGUAUUUCAUCCCUUUUAAAUAAUUAUUUCUAUAAUUUUAAGAGUUUAAGAAGGCUAGACAAAGACUAAUUAUUAGGCACAUUUUGUAAAAACACUAGUUAUUAGACACAUUUUUUGCUCAAUCAAGCAAUCACACAGUUGACUAAACACUAAUUAUUGGACUUUUUUUUUUUAUAAUAAGUGGAAGACAAGAAUACAAUCGACUACUUUGGUCAAUUAAGCAAUCAUUCAGUUGACUAUAAACUAGUCUUUAGACAUUUUUUUUUAUAAUAAUUGGAAGACAUGAAUACAAUCGAUUACUUUGGUCAAUUAAUCAAUUAUUCAAGAAAUUUAGAAAAAUAUUGGAUAAAAGAUAUAUAUAACGGAUUAUUUCAAAUUGAAACUUAAGAUCAUAAAUCUUACUUUUAAUGUUGAAAAAUCAUGUAAAACACAAGUUUUUAUCUUUGAAGUAAUCAAUUUCAUUUUUCACAAAAAAUCAUUAAUAAUACAUGAAUGAAUUCUUUUAAAAAAAUCUUAUAAAAAAUGUGAUUAUUUUUCAUUCCCAAAUAUUUAGGUUCUAAAGGUCAAUUUUAAAGCAUACUUAUCCUUACUAUGCCUUACAAGAAAAUCUAUUCUAUACAUAUGAUCUUGUAAAAAACUGUAAAUAAAAAAGAAAAAAAGAAAAAAAACCUCUCUUGUUUUCCUCUUUUGAUUGGAUAUCAUUAUCAUACUUAAAAUUAAAUAUUUAAUCAAAAUAUUAUUUUACUAUCAUCAAAAUUUAGAUUUAACCAAACUUUAGGCUAGUAUGUUGAUACGACAAGUUAAUUUUCUAUCUUAAAGUUUUAAAAACUUUUGAAAUUAAACAUUUUCUUACACAUUUAUUUUUAAAGUUUUUAGCAUAAAAUUUAAAAUUGAAGCUUUUAAAGGAAAACCUCAUAAUAUAAUAUACUAGAAAGACAUGGUCAAACAAAUAGAGACGAAGCCUCAAAAGGAAGGGGCAAUGGUUGAACCACUUGACAUUGUUGCCUACUACUAAGAUGGUGUAAGAAACAACAUAACCAAUGGAACAUAUGCACAUUAAACAUUGUACAAUUAUUAUAAAUGUCUUAUACAUUAUGUGUGAAAAUACCAAAAAAAAAGAAAAAUUAUAUUCAACAUUUACAUUUGUAUACAAACAAUGUUUUCGACAAUUUGAUAUAAAAAACAAAUAAAAAAAAUAAAGAAAAACAUACAAAUAUAUUUACAAUGGACAAACUUAUUCAAUUAGUAUAAAUAUCUUGUAUAUUUAAUACAAAUACCUUAUACUUUGUGAAAAUGUAAAAAUAUAGUAUUUAAUAUUUAUACAUGUGGGUAAGUAAUUUUUCUAAUGGUUUGAUUUAAAAAACAAAUAAUGAGAAUCAAGAAAAACAUGCAAAUAAAUUAGUGUGAAUGAUAAAGGGUGUUUUUUACCAUAAAUUUUCAUGGACUUAGCAUCAAUUAUGCAUCUAUAGAUGUUAACCCAAUUAGCAUAAUGUGAAAACCCUUGCACACAAUAUAUAAACCCUAUACUUGAAUUAGGAAGGACAAAAAAAAAAUAGUUAGAGCAAUUGGUACCAUCAAUGAUGACUUCACCUAAAGAAAGGUUAAUGAACAUUAUGUUCUCAACGGAGAGCAACUCUGGUAGAACAUAUGGAGUAAAUCAAUGCCCUUCUUUUAACGAUGAAGUAGCUAAGUCAUGAAAACAAGGUUUUGCUAACAACAUUAAAGGCAAGAAUUCCCCCAAUAUACUCCAAUUCAUAUUCAAUUCACAGACCUUCAACUAACUACUCUCAGUAACGAGCAAACCCAAGUCAAUACAUAAGAUUGAUUAUUACUUAUGAUAAUUGAAACCCUAAUUAAAUAAAUAAGGACACAAAUAUAUAUAUAUAUAUAUAGGGACAGUUGUGUUUUGGACCUAGGUGAACCCAAAAAUUAAGGUUUGGUUUAUAUAACUUACAUAAUUGAUGAAAAUGAUAUAAGAUAUCAAAAUAUCAAAAUACUCAUUGACCUUUCACAUAAGCUUUUUUGGUAUUUAUUGCACUACUAUUCAUUCAACCAUAAUAAUUCUAUUUUAACUAUUUGGAUUUUUCAUUGUUUUUUAAAACUUUUUAUUUAUAAAUAAUUGAAAAUCAACAUUAUUUUCUAUUUUAAAUUAUAAAUAAAGAAAAAUUACGUUCGAAAACUAUUUUAAAAAAUACUUUCUAAAAAAAAUGGUAAUAUGAUUUAUAUUUUUUAUAUUUUCUUUUAGAAAAAAAUAUUUAAUUAAAAAAUGAAAAAUAUUUUUAAAAAUAAAAAUUGGAAACCUUGUUUAGUACUAUUUUUUUUAUAUAAAAAUAAUAAAAAUAAUUAAAUUUCAUUUAUUGAUUAUCCAUUAAAUUUUAUAUGAAAAUUUUGUAUAAGAGUAAAAAGAUUCAAUAUCUUUAAAAAAAGAAAAAAAAAACAAAACAAAAAGUUAGAAAUGAGUAAUACUUAAUUGGGAAUAGAAAAUGGGAAAAAUUUUGAAAUUUACACUCACUAUAUGUCUACGUAGGGAUUAAGGGUAUUUUAGGGAUUAAUGAAGGAUAAUAUCUUUUAACUUAAUUUUUACAUUUUAUUUGGGUCUUGGGAUUAAAUGUACAUUAUAUAUGGAUCUUUGGUUAAUUUUUGGACCCAUCCGGACCCAAAACACAAUUCUCCAUAAAAAAAUAUUUAUUAAAAUAAAUAAAUUAAUAAAAACCAUUUAGAGAGUUUCAUAACUUAGGUGGUGUUUGUUUUUUUGGCUUUUUGGUGAAAACCAUUUAGUUUUAGAAUUUAGGUUGUUUGUUUUUUUACUUUUUCAUGACUUAUUAUAAACUUUUUACAAAAUAGAAAAAGCCAAAAUAUAUGACUUUUUCUAAAUAGAAAAAUAACACAAUGGUUUUUUUUACUUUUUAAUACUUAAUAGAAAUAAAAUAUUAUAAAAACAAACAACCUAAUAUUUAAUACUAUUAAGUAUUAAAGUUCUAUUUAGAAUUAAGUAAAAAAACAAACACCACCUAAGUGUCGAAGCUAUUGUAAGAAAAAAGUAUUAUAUAAUGUAGGGUUUAGGUUCAAAGUCUACCUAAGAUUAAAUUUAAGUCUUAAGACAAAUUCACAUUCAAAACUAGGUUUUUAAGUUAGAAAAAUAGACCCCUUAAACCAAUUAAAUGGUAAAAAAAAAUUACAAAGAAAAUUUCUCUAGCUGGUUUCUUCAUCUUGAAAACUAACGGAAACAUAUAUCAAUAUUUGGUAUGAAAAUUCGUAACCUUAGAAACACAGCUUUGAGUCUUGCUGAGAAAAACAAAGCUUAUUUGCUCGUAGACCAUCGUAGUGGUCGUCAUACCGUGUGAGGACCGGGGAAGCAUCUUUGCUCGUAGACCGGCUUUUGUAGUCUUUCUUUAACAAUUGCAAGUUGUCAGGAUUCCCUUCAUCCUCCUAUAUAAUAUUGUUUUUGGUCUUGUUCUGGUUGUAUCUCCGUGGAAGGAAGGAAGAUGAAUCAAGUUCCUUUGUAUGUAUCAAUGUCUCUGAUUCAUUUUUUGGUUCCUAGAAUCGAAUCCUCGCUCUGUUCUUGCUUAAUUUCUCCUUUUUCUGUUGGGUCUUUCACUGCAGGUUUAGCUCUGCACGGGAACUGGCAAAUUUGGUGCUGGCCUCCAAUCUAAUCGACUGUGCUUUCACCAAAAUUCUUGAACUUAAGAGAGGCCAAACAGCCUUGCCUGUUCAAUACAGACUUUAUCAACUGUCUUCCAAGUGCACAAUUGUAGCUUUUGUCUCUUCACCUGACUGCACUCAAUACCCUCUUCCUGGACAAGGAGAUUUAGAUCGGUCUCCUCUCUUUGACUUCCUCCGUACCGAAGAAUACCCGUCCGUCUCCAUUAACAGAGCAGCAUUAGACCUCUUUACCCCUCUCCAUGAUCAUCUCUCUGGACUAACAGAUGAGGUCAAAAUCUGAUACUUGUUUGAAUUUUCGUUUCCUUUUCGUUAACAAUUGUGAGACACGAAACAGCUUGACCAUGAGAUCUCCCUCAUGGAGUCGAACUACCUGAAGGAUAAGACGUCACACAUAUCCAUUUUCAUGGCAUCGUCACAUGACCCAUUGAUCGGUUGUGAUUCAACUCUUAAUAGGAAUACAGUAGAACCGGUGUUGGUAUCUGUCUUUAGAUCAGCUUGCAUAUAUCUUGUCACUGAAAAAGGAAUGUUCAGAAGUGAGAUUAGUGGCAUUAUUCUGACAUGGAUUUCAUAUGGUUACUUGUUUUGCAGUUGACUCGGAUUGAAGGUCAAUUAAUCAUCACUGGGCACUCCCUGGGAGGAUCCGUUGCUUCUCUCUUCACCUUACGCCUGCUAGACGGCAAUUUAUUAAAGCCCAAAUGCCAUCCCUUUUGUAUCACCUUUGGUUCACCCCUCAUAGGCGACUUUGGCCUCCAAGACUCCAAAUGGAAUUCUUUCUUCCUGCAUGUAGUGUCUAACCAAGACCCAGUCCCCGGACUCUUCCUCCCAUCCGGCAGAUCUCCGCCCACAUCCUCCCAUUCACAAACUACCGGUUACAAGCCCUUUGGGACAUAUCUCUUGUGCUCUGAACUUGGUUGUGCUUGUUUUGACAACCCUGAUUUAAUUUUGAGAUUGCUGAAAGUCAUAUCAUCAGAGGUUGCCGGAGGAUUGCAGGAUGUUGAUUAUGGGGAGAUUUUAAGAAACCUCAAGGAGAGGGCAAUCUGCAAGGGACUGCCGCAGGUGGGUGAACGGUUUGCAGAUCCAUUUUCAGCUGGGAUCAUCAUGGAACUUGAGACAAUUGGAUUUAAUCAAACAAAGGUAAACAGCUUUCUCCCAUCUAAUGAUGUUAUGAAACAUGGUUUACACUUCACCAUAUACUGCAAUAACUGCCCUAUUCAGAUUUAUCUUCUUGUUCUUUGGGAUCUUCCAUAACUCGUCUCAUUUUUAAAAUUCAUGCCAGCUGCUGCAGCAUAACAUUGAUAUCGACGCUAUGAUAAGAACAAUGGAAGAGGAAACCAGAAGCCUAAUCCAGAAAAAUAAAGCUUCCGAUGCCAAGAAACUGAAUGACAUAAAAAGAGACAUGGCCCAUCUAGAAUGGUAUAAGAAGAAAUCGGAAAUGGGUUACUACGAUUGCUUCAAAAACCAGGGGUCUAAAAGGGACAUCCACGUUGAACAGUUUAGGGUAAACCUCACAAAAUACUGGAAAGACAUGGUUGCACAAGUACAGAGGAAGCCCCAGAAGGAAGGAGCAACAUUUCGAACCCGUUGGCUCUAUGCAGGGACAGUUUAUAGGAGAAUGGUUGAACCACUGGACAUUGCUGCCUUCUACGGAGAGGGUAAAACAGACUACAUAAACAAGAAAAGAUCUCUUCAUUACCAGCUGUUGCAGCAAUGGUAUGAGGAAGAUGUGAAACCCCCCUCUAGAGAUAAGCUUGAUUCCAAGAAGCAAAAGGUGUCUGGUAUCCUAACUGAGGAUUCUUUGUUUUGGGCAUAUGUGGAGGAGGCCAUCUUGUCAUGCGAAUUGCUCAAGAGUCAAAACUGUACUCUUGAGCAGGGAAAAUCAUCAUGGGAUAAUCUGGUUAAGUUCGAGGAGUAUGUAAUGGAACAGAUUAACAACUAUGCAGCGUCCCCUGAGAUUUUCUCGAGGGAAAGCAGCUUCAUGAAAUGGUGGGGACUGUAUGAGGGCUACAUAGAUACUUGCAGUAAUUCCCAUGGGUCGCCAUUGAUCAACUUCAUGAAGGAUCGUAGGUAUAUACAGUAUGGACGUUAGAGGGGCAAUCCAGUUUGUGUGUUGUGUUUGUUGUUUUGUGAGCGUUCAAUGGAUAAAACUAGAAAGAGUGUGACCUUUUUCCCUUUUUCUUGGUUGCUGCCCAUAUUCUCAGCACUAUUUUCUUCCUUCUUUUCCUCAGUUUUUUUUGUUAAGAAAUGAAUAUUAUGAUGUUGCUGGGAUGCACUUUCAUUGUUGUUCUAUUAAAUUGUGUUUUAUUUAUAUCCUAAACAAAUAAAUGUAAACAAGAAAAUCAAAUAAGACUUCAAAGAGUCUUUUCCUUCAAAAAAAAAAAAAAUGGGGAAAAAGAAAAACAUUUUUGUUUAGAUUCAACUCCACCAAAACUUGCAACAACUUCCCAUUGAAAAAUUCCUUUUAAGCUCUGAAUGACAUAAAACUAGAUAUGUUCCAGCUAGAAUGGUACAAGAAAGAAAUCAACAGAUGAGAACAAUGGGUUAUUAUGACAGCUUCAGAAACCUGGGGUGUAAAAGAGACAUUAAAAUGGAACCGAUGGGAAGACAUGGUAAAACACGUAGAGAGGAAGCCUCACCAGGAAGGGGCAGCUUUGCAAACCCUCUGGCUCUGUACAGGAACGAAUUAUAGAAAGAUUGUUGAACCACUUGACAUUGCUGCCUACCACAGAGAGGGUGGAAGACACUACAUAACCAAUGGAGGAUCUAAACAUUACACGCUAUUGGAGCAAUGAUGCAAUGAAGAGGAGAAGGGGGCUUUGUCUUCUCAUGCAAAUUGCUCUCAGAGCUCAGAACCUACUCCUGAAGGGAAAGAAUCAUCAUGGAGUGAUCUGGUUAAGUUUGAGGAUUUAUUUAUAUAAUUGAACUGAUUGGAAGCUAUGCAGUGUCGGCCCCCACCCGAGCAGCUUCAUGAAACGGUGGAAAGAGUUGGAAGAAGUCAUAGAUACUUGCUAUAGGAGCUUCAUGAAGUAUGGAGAGGUAUGGCAUAGAUACUUGCAGUGUCUGAAUUUCCCAAAUCCAAUUUCAGAUUGUGUACUUAGAUUCGUGGAACUUGUUUUCUUGCUUUUUGUUAGGUACAAUUGAGAUGGGCUGAACCGCAAGGCCCGCCAGGAUGAACAAUAUAAUGGGCCUGAAUUUUAAACCAGUGGAUGGGCUUUGGACUGGAUUCAGCUGUCUGAGCCCAAUGAGUAUUGAAUGUGUUUCUGUAUAAAAUUAAAUUUUUAACAUUGAAAUAUAAGGACUUACUUAAAAACACAUUUGGUAACUUUUUUUUUUUGGUUAAUAAUAGAUUGUUUAAAAAAAAAUUAAAAAAAUAUUAUUUUUUAGAAUAAAUUUGAGGCAUGUUUAGGUAUUUUUCGUGGUAAAGAGUUUAGAAGCAAUGAGAAUAUAUAUAGAAUACUUUAAAACUUUUGCAUAAUACUUACUUACAUGAUGCUUUCAUAAAAAAUAAAUCAAUAAAAACAAUUUUCAUAGUUGAAUUUCAAAACAUAAAACAACUCAGAAUUGUUUUUAAGAAUUGUUCUUAGAAAUAGUUUUCUAUUAAGUCACAUUCAAGGAAUCGUUUUCAUAUAUGCAAGUAAUGGAAUGAAUGUGAUGAAAAAUAAAAAAUAAAAAGUAAGGGGAAAGAUAUUGUAAAUAAAGUGUUUUUAUCGUGGUUCAAUGACCUAUCCACUUCCACACCUUGAUGUAUUUCACAAUUUUAAAAGUUUUCUUAAUCAUGAUUCUCCUUAUUAUUCUUUAUGUCGAGAUUUUUUAAGUUUUAAUAGACUUUUUCAAUCACUAAGGUGGUGUUUGCUUUUUCACUUAAUUUUAAAUAUAACUUAAAACUAAAUAAUACUUAAUAGUAUCAACUAUUAAGUUGUUUGUUUCUAUAACAGUUUAUUUCUAUAUAAUAUUAAAAAGUAAAGAAAAAUCAACAUGCUAUUUUUGUCAUUUAAAAAAAGUCAAAUAUUUUGAAUUUUUUUAUUUAGCUAAAAAUUUAUAAUAAAUCCUAAAAAGAUAAAUAAUAAUAAUAAUAAAUAAAUAAAUAAAUAAAAACAAAUAAACAACUUAAAGUCUAAAAACAAAUUGUUGUCAACAAAAAAUUAAAAAAACAAGCACUUUCUAAAUAAGAUUCCUUAACCACUCGUACAAUAGCUCCUUUAAGCACAAGAUGUAAUGAAUGAAUACAACUUUGGUGAAAUAACUAAAGUGCUCACAAUGAGAAAAUAAACAAGUUUGGAUUCAAUAUAAUUUUUGGCUAUCUAAUUAAAAGGGUAAUUGAAAACCCAAUUUUGGAAAUAUAACCCUUCAUCAUUUUUUUUACCUCAUUUUAAUAAAAAUACUCUUAUUAUUUUCUUAUAAAAAUAAUCAUUUCUUUUAAAACAUACUAUAAAUACUUCAAAUAAUCAAGAGCAUUUAUGUAAAAAAUGAAUUACUCUUCAAAUAAAAAUAUUGGAGGGAAUAAAUUCACAAAUAUAUGGGGUAUUUCAUCCCUUCUAACUAAUUAUUUCUAUAAUUUAAAGAGUUUAAGAAGGCAAGACAACUAAAUAAAUGAAGUUUUCAAGUUAUUGUCUCUAUCAUAAAUAAAGUCCAAUAAUCACAUUUGUAUCGUUUUGUACAAAGACUAAUUAUUAGGCAUAUUUUGUAAAAACACUAAUUAUUAGACACAUUUUUCGCUCAAUCAAACAAUCACACAGUUGACUAGAAACUAGUUGUUGGACAUUUUUUUUUAUAAUCAUUGGAAGACAAGAAUACAAUCGACUACUUUAAUCAAUUAAGCAAUCAUACAGUCGACUAUAAACUAGUCAUUGGACAUUUUUUUUAAAAUCAUUGGAAGACAGGAAUACAAUCGAUCACUUUGGUCAAUUAAUCAAUUAUUCAAGAAAUUUAGAAAAAUAUUGGAUAAACGACAUAUAGUGGAUUAUUUCAAAUUGAAACUUAAGAUCGGAAAUCUUGCUUUUAAAUCAUGUAAAACACAAGUUUUUAUCUUUGAAGUAAUCAAUCUCAUUUUUAACAAAAAAAAUCAUUAAUAAUAUAUGAAUGAAUUCUUUUAAAAAAUGUGAUUAUUUUUCAUUCCCAAAUACUUAUGUUCUAAAGGUCAAUUUUAAAGCAUACUUGUCCCUACUAUGCCUUAUAAGAGAAUAUAUUCUAUACAUGUGAUAUUGUAAAAAAGUUUAAAAAAUAAAUAAAUAAAUAAAUAAAACCUCUUUUGUUUUCCUCUUUUGACUAUAUAUCAUCAUUAUCAUACUUAAAAUUAAAUAUUCAAUCAAAAUAUUAUUUUAUUAUCAUCAAAAUUUAAAUUUAACCAAACUUUAGGCUAGUACGUUGAUAUGACAAGUUAAUUUUCUAUCUUAAAGUUUUAAAAACUUUGAAAUUAAACAUUUUCUUACACAUUUAUUUUUAAAGUUUUUAGCAUAAAAUUUAAAAUAAAAAAAUACAUUAUUUUCAAAUUCAUUUUGAAAAUUUUUAUUUUAAAAAUAAAAAAUUUAAUAAAAAAAAAUGCAGGCCAGUUUUUUUUCCCUCUUUUUACCCUACAGUUUAAUUAAUUUGAGGUUAGAGGAAAGCUAUGAAAGAAAGAAAAUAAAAAUAAAAAAGAAAAUGAAAGAAUGAAAAAUAUAGCAAAAAAAUUUAAAAGAAAAAAUCUACAAGCUAAUAUUUUUUUCUUAUUUGAGAUGAUAUUUUAUAUUUAGCUUUACUACAAGCUAAAGUCACCAAAACCAUGAUCACAAAAGGGUAAUAUUGAUAUAAUGAAAGAUUAUGAAAAAAAAAAAGUUCUAUAACAAGCAAUAUUUGCUUGACUUUCAUUUAAAAAAAUUUAAAAUCAAAAUACUUUUAGUAAAAUUAUCUAAACAUGUCAAACCUAAACGAAGUGAGUGUUUCAUAUUAAGUUAUUUUUUAAGCCAAAAAACUUAUUUUAAUAGAAUUAAUCACAUAGAUAAAAAGUUGCUAUCGUGGUGGGAAAAAGGUUUUCUUUCAUUUAUUAAAUGCUAAUAAAUUUUGAAUUAUUGAAUUCAUAAAUCUUUUAAUAAAGGUCUCAUUACGUUACAUCUAAGGUUUUAUUGUGUUGGCAUCUUAUGUCUGGUGUUAUUAUUUAUUUUAUAUCCAUUUUAUUGUUUUAUAGUUUAAUCUCAUUUGAUUGUACUAUCAUUAAAUAAUCUAAAUUUGAUUACUAUGAGAUUUUAAAGUUAGAUAUGAUGUCAAUCAUGGUAUAGAUUUUGAAAGAUAUUAUCAAAUCAAAUAUUUAGGGUAUUUGAUAAAUCAAUUUAAUAACUUAAAAUGAUUUAAUAAUUUAUUUAUAUUAAUUUAAAGUUUUCAAAUAAAUUUUUUUAUAAAUAUAAUUUUAGAUUUAAGUAAAGAUAAGUUAAUUUUAAAUUUUAAAUUAAAAUAAUUAACUCAUUCUUAGUUAAAUCUAAAACUAUAUUUAAAAUAAAUAAAAACAGAGAUGGAUAUAAAUUAAGUCAAUAACUCACUUUAAAUCAUUGACUUGAUUUACCAAACACUUCAAAAUCUCACAUUUACAAGACCUGAAGUGGAUCCUUUUCAAUGAAUAUUGUCAUAUUUGUUGGAGUGUACCCAAAAUCCAAAUAUUUCAGUCUUUUUUCUCUUUAUUUCAUUUUAAAAUAAAAUAAUAAUCAUUAUACCAUGAACUUUCAAAAGUACCAUCAUUAUGUCAGUGGAGAUGGGAAGCUGAAAGCCUGAAACAAAUCAAUGGUGAAAGACACCAGUUUUCCAACAACAAAAAAGGCCAAAUCUGAUUCCAACUCAUCCAGUCUAUCUGUGCACUUUGACAACUGAAACACUUUAUUCCAAUUCACAUUUCACUAGAAAUUCCAUUCCAUAUCUACUCAAUAUUCACUGAAAAGGGUUUACAAUGAAAUAACAACUNNNNNNNNNNNNNNNNNNNNNNNNNNNNNNNNNNNNNNNNNNNNNNNNNNNNNNNNNNNNNNNNNNNNNNNNNNNNNNNNNNNNNNNNNNNNNNNNNNNNGAAAUUCAAAGAGCAACACUACUAACAUCUCAGAAUCCUCUGUGCAAUCACUACCAAAACUUUUCCUUACACAUGAAUGAAGAAAUGAGGCUGUACAUAUAUAAUCUGCGGAUGACAACAUGCAAGAAUGCAAAUGGGGGAAAUGGGGAAACAAAUAUUCUAGACAGGGUCUUAUUGGAAAGAAUCUAGGAUUGGGGCUUGAAGAAAAAUGGAAGAAUGGCAUCAUAAGACUGCAGUCUGAGUGGGAGAAGAAUUCAGGCGGGAGAGACAGGUUGAAGAUGAGUUCAGUAAUGAGCUCUCAAGGCUUGGGCAUGGUUCAGGGAACACCCAUUGGGAGAACCCAGAGACAUUUGAGCAAACCCAAGAGAUGGAGGCAGGAGGAGUAGUUGAUAGGGAGAUGUUGGAUAGACAAAUGGAAGUGAACGGGGAUUCUUGAAUACCAGUGAAGCUUCCAGCAAUGGUUAUGUUUGUGCCGAUCACAUUCUGCAAGGUGAUGUGAUCCAAGACAGGGAGUGCAUUGGGGUCAAAAUGGUCAUCUGGGUGGGAGCCGAUUUGGCCUGUUGCACUGAAGGCUGUGUGGAUGUUUUCCAUUGCGACAUCUGAUAUGAUGAUUUCUUGGAUAUAACCACCUCUUCCCUUGGUAGUUCUGAACUCGAUGCCACUGAAUGAGUUGUAUAGGUGGACCUGCUCCACACAGACGUUAGAAAUGCCACCAGACAUCUCACUACCGAAGGCCAGGGAAGAGCCAGAUGAUGAUUGAAGGUUGACCCGUCUGAUGUGUACAUUUGUGGUGGGUCUACCAUAGGCAAUGCCAUAUUCAUCCCAGCCACUCUUGAGUGCAAUGGCAUCAUGGCCCAUGGCAAUGCUGCAAUCCUCUAUGCAGGUGCUAUCUGAAGAAUCUGAAAUCAAAACAUUAUACAAAGUUGACUUAGCAAAAUUCUUUUCAUGACUGAACCCUUCCUGAACAUAGAAAAAAGUAAAAUUAUAAUCUACAUGAACCACUAAACAAACCACAGGUAACAACCUGUUUCCUCUUUCAACAAAUAUCCCUAUCAAUAUACUUAAACAUUCAUAUAUACAUUAAAAACUAAUAUAGAUUUUCAGAAAUAUCUUACCAAUCGGAAGAGGGUUCAAACAAUAAACAAAGACAAAACAAUUCUAGCACUGAUAAUUAAAGAUCCAAAAGUUUAUCAAAUUUAGUAAAAAGAAACAGACCAAAACCUACAAAAUUAUUGUUAAACAAGUGAAAAACAAAACAUUAAAUUAUCUAUUAUCACUCUUGGAGACUGACGGUAUGAAAAUAAGUUCAAAUGCCUCAGAUUCCUUCACCUCCAUUCUUAAUUCCUAGCCUCUUCAACAACCAAGUUUCAAGUACCUUAAUUCGUCCAUCUCCAGAACUGAUAGCAAAGAAGUCCAAAGAAGGGGUAAAGGUUGUUAAUAAAUCUCGGAUAUUCGAUGGGCCCAUGGUCCUGUAUCAAAAGAAUAAAUUAAAUGUCAAAGUCCUUACAAUUCAUAAUUUACAAAUUAGAAAUGAAAUUGUAGAUAUACGAGAGGUGUUCCAAGACGUUAUUAAGGGAGAUUGACUGUAACUGCCUAUUGAUAAAGAAACAAAACAACUUACCAUGACGAAAAUAAUAUAGCUCAAAAUCACAGUAGGAAGUGCCAAAAAAAGGUGGCAAUCCUCUGAAACAUAUGAUGAAGAAGAUAUAAAAAAAUAUAUAAGAAAGACACAGCAUUAAAAAUUUUAAAGCUCGCCAAUAUGUUGCCAAUCCAGUAAAUCAUUUCAUUAACUAAACUGAUUCAGCACUUAAGCUCUAAUAACCUUUGUUUGGUAGCCGAGAAAAUGGAAGAGAAGGAGGAAAAAAAUGCAAUAUCAUGCUAUCUGUUACUGAAUCAAGCCAAACAAUUCAGUUAAACUUGGCUGAACAGCAGUUUUAGCUUUCUUAGCCUGAAUAACGAAAAUUCAAGAUUUUAUCUAUUUUACUUUCCUGCAUUUUCUCAGCUUCCCGGUUUGUCUACGGACAAACUAGAGGAAAAUAAAAUAAAAAAUAAAAAGAAAACUAAAACCAGGUAUUUUCAGUUGUUCUCCAUAAAAAGCAAACGAAAAAUCAACAGAACUAAAUCCUGAGCAAUUACCGAUCCGGCUCAGGCUGAAUUUCCGGUUCUCUUAGAAAAUAUUAUAUAGCAGUUCCAAUAAGGGACCGUCGUGCAUCAUUAUACUAAUUUUCCUCCGUUUUUCGGCAACCAAACAGAGGAUAAACUUGUUUUGAGGAGAAGAUGCACGCUUACCUGUUUUGGCGACCGGCGGCGGCGAGAUGCAAAGAAAAAGAGAGAACGAGAGAGGGGUUUUACCUGUUUUGGCGACCGGCAGCGGCUAGAAGCAAAGAAAAAGAGAGAACGAGAGUGGGGUUUUAGGAACGCAGCCGCGUAGCUGCUCAUUUCGCAAGGGCCCCUUUUUUAUUUCUUUUUCUUUUUUUUCAAUUUUAGGAUUUUUCAUUUUAGCCUCCAUAUUUGAGUGUAUUUAGAUUUGUGGAACCUGUUUUGGGGCUUUUUGUUAGGUACAAUUGAGAUGGGCUGAACCGAAAAGCCCGCCAGGAUGAACAACAUUAAUGGGCCUGAAUUUUAAACCUAUGAAUGGGCUUUAUACUGGAUUCAGCUGUCUGAGCCCAAUGAGUAUUGAAUGUGUUUCUGUAUAAAAUUAAACUUUUAACAUUGAAAUAUGAGGACUUACUUAAAAACACAUUUGGUAACUUUUUUUUUUGGUUAAUAAUGGACUUUAAGAAAAAAUUAAAAAUAUAUUAUUUUUUAGAAUAAAUUUGAGGCAUGUUUAGGUAUUUUUUGUGGUAAAGAGUUUUGAGAAGCAAUAGAAAAUAUAUAGAAUACUUUAAAAACUUUUGCAUAAGAUACUUACUUACACGAGGCUUUCAUGAAAAAUAAAUCGAUAAAAACAAUUUUCAUAUUUGAAUUGCGAAACAUAAAACAACUCAAAACUGUUUUUAAGCAUUGUUCUUAAAAAUAGUUUUCUAUUAAGUCACAAUCAAGGAAGCUUUUAUCUUUUAUUUUUCUAUGUUUCAUCCUUGCAUAAAGGGAGUAUAAAGACUAAAGUUAAUCUAAUUAACAAAUUUGGAUAAUCAUCCAAUAAAUGAGUAAAUUAGGUGAUGAUCUCUUUAUAUAUGCAAGUAAUGGAAUGAAUGUGAUGAAAAAUAGAAAAAAGUAAGGGGAGAAAUGUUGUAAAUAAAGUGUUUUUAUUGUGGUUCAAUGACCAAUCCACUUCCACACCUUGACAUAUUUCACAAUUUUAAAAGUUUUCUUAAUCAUGAUUCUCCUUAUUAUUUUUUAAGUCCGGAUUUCUUAAGUUUCAAUAGACUUUUACAAUCACUAAGAUGGUGUUUAUUUUUUCACUUAAUUCUAAAUAUAAGUUAAAACUAAAUAAUAUUUAAUAAUAUCAAGUAUUAGGUUGUUUUUUUUUAUAACAUUUUAUUUUUAUAUAAUAUUAAAAAGUAAAGAAAAAUCAAUAUGUUAUUUUUUUCAUUUAAAAAAAGACAAAUAUUUUGCCUUUUUUUUAAGCUAAAAAUUUAUAAUAAAAAAAAAAAAGCAAACAAUUUAAAGUGUAAAACAGAUUGUUUUCAACAAAAAUUUAAAAAAACAAACACUUUCUAAAUAAGAUUCCUUAGCCACUUGUACAAUGGCUUCUUUAAGCACAAAAUGUAAUAAAUGAAUACAACUCUGGUGAAAUGACUAAAGUGCUCACAAUGAGAAGAUAAACAAGUUUGGAUUCAAUAUAAUUUUGGGUUAUCUAAUUAAAAUGGUCAUUGAAAACCCAAUUUUGGAAAUAUAACCCUUCGUCAUUUUUUUACCUCAUUUUAACAAAAAAAAGCUCUUAUUAUUUUCCUAUAAAAAUAAUCAUUCCUUUUAAAACACACUAUAAAUACUUCAAAUAGCCCAAGGUUUUUAUGUAAAAAAAAAUGAAUUACUCUUCAAAUAAAAAUAUUGGAGGGAAUAAAUUCACAAAUAUGGGUAUUUCAUCUCUUUUAACUAAUUAUUUCUAUAAUUUUAAGAGUUUAAGAAGGCUAGACAAAGACUAAUUAUUGGACUUUUUUUUUUAUAAUCAAUGGAAGACAGGAAUACAAUCGACUACUUUGAUCAAUUAAGCAAUUAUACAGUUGACAAUAAACUAGUCGUUAGACAUUUUUUUUUAUAAUAAUUGGAAGACAUGAAUACAAUCGAUUACUUUGGUCAAUUAAUCAAUUAUUUAAGAAAUUUAAAAAAAUAUUGGAUAAAAGAUAUAUAUAUAUAUAACGAAUUAUUUCAAAUUGAAACUUAAGAUCAGAAAUCGUGCUUUUAAUGUUGAAAAAUCAUGUAAAACACAAGUUUUUAUCUUUGAAGUAAUCAAUUCAUUUUUCACAAAAAAUCAUUAAUAAUACAUUAAUGAAUUCUUUUAAAAAAUCUUAUAAAAAAUGUGAUUAUUUUUCAUUCCCAAAUACUUAGGUUCUAAAGGUCAAUUUUAAAGCAUACUUAUCCUUACUAUGCCUUACAAGAAAAUCUAUUCUAUACAUAUGAUUUUGUAAAAAAGUGUAAAUAAAAAAAAUAAAAAAUAAAAAAUAAAAAAUAAAAAAAACCUCUCUUGUUUUCCUCUUUUGAUUGGAUAUCAUUAUUAUACUUAAAAUUAAAUAUUUAAUCAAAAUAUUAUUUUACUAUCAUCAAAAUUUAGAUUUAACCAAACUUUAGGCUAGUAUGUUGAUAUGACAAGUUAAUUUUCUAUCUUAAAGUUUUAAAAACUUUUGAAAUUAAACAUUUUCUUACACAUUUAUUUUUAAAGUUUUUAGCAUAAAAUUUAAAAUUAAAGCUUUUAAGGAAAAACCUCAUAAUACAAUAUACUAGAAAGACAUGGUCAAACAGAUAGAGAGGAAGCCUCGAAAGGAAGGGGCAAUGGUUGAACCACUUGACAUUGUUGCCUACUACUAAGAUGGUGUAAGAAACAACAUAACCAAUGGAACAUAUGCACAUUAAACAUUGUAUAAUUAUUAUAAAUGUCUUAUACAUUAUAUGUGAAAAUACGAAAAAAAAAAUAAAAUAAAAUUAUAUUCAACAUUUAUAUUUGUAUACAAACAAUAUUUUCAAUACUUUGAUAUAAAAAACAAAUUAAAAAAAUGAAGAAAAACAUAUAAAUAUAUUUACAAUGGACAAACUUAUUCAAUUAGUAUAAAUAUCUUGUAUAUUUAAUACAAAUACCUUAUACUUUGUGAAAAUGUAAAAAUAUAGUAUUUGAUAUUGAUACAUGUGGGUAAGUAAUUUUUCUAAUGGUUUGAUUUAAAAAACAAAUAAUGAGAAUCAAGAAAAACAUGCAAAUAAAUUAGUGUGAAUGAUAAAGGGUGUUUUUUACCAUAAAUUUUUAUGGACUUAGCAUCAAUUAUGCAUCUAUAGAUGUUAACCCAAUUAGCAUAAUGUGAAAACCCUUACACACAAUAUAUAAACCCUAUACUUGAAUUAGGAAGGACAAAAAAAAAAAUAGUUAGAGCAUUUGGUACCAUCAAUGAUGACUUCACCUAAAGAAAAGUUAAUGAACAUUAUGUUCUCAAUGGAAGAGCAACCCUAGUAGGACAUAUGGAGUAAAUUGAUGCUCUUCUUUCGACAACGAAGUAGCUAAGUCAUGAAAAUGGGGUUUUGCUAACAACAUUAAAUGCAAGAAUUCCCCAAUAUACUGCAAUUCAUAUUCAAUUCAUAGACUUUCAACUAACUACUCUCAAUAACGAGCAAACCCAAGUCAAUACAUAAGAUUGAUUAUUACUUAUGAUAAUUGAAACCCUAAUUAAUAAAUAAGGACACAAAUAUAUGUAUAUAUAUAUAUAUAUAUAUAUAUAUAUAUAUAAAAUAGAGACAAUUGUGUUUUGGACCCAGGUGGAUCAAAAAUUAAGGUUUGGUUCAUAAAACUUACAUAAUUGAUGGAAAUGAUAUAAGUUAUCAAAAUACCAAAAUACUCAUUGAUCUUUCACGUAAGCUUUUUUUGUCUUUAUUGCACCACUAUUCAUGCAACCAUAAUAAUUCUAUUUUAACUAUUUGGAUUUUUCAUUAUUUUUUAAAACUUUUUUUUUAUAAAUAAUUGAAAAUCAACAUUAUUUUCUAUUUUAAAUUAUAAAUAAAGAAAAAUUACGUUCAAAAACUAUUUUAAAAAAUAAUUUCUAAAAAAAUGGUAAUAUGAUUUAUAUUUUUUAUAUUUUCUUUUAGAAAAAAAUAUUUAAUUAAAAAAUGAAAAAUAUUUUUCAAAAUAAAAAUUGAAAACCUUGUUUAGUACUAUUUUUUUAUAUGAAAAUAAUAAAAAUAAUUAAUUUAUUAUCCAUUCAAUUUUAUAUGAAAAUUUUUUAUAAGAGUAAAAAGAUUCAAUAUCUUUAAUAAAAGAAAAAAAAAACAAAACAAAAAGUUAGAAAUAAGUAAUACUUAAUUAGGAAUAGAAAAAGGGAAAAAUUUUGAAAUUUACACUCACUAUAUGCCUAUGUAGGGAUUAAAGGUAUUUUAUGAAUUAAUGAAGGAUAAUAUUUUUUAACUUAAUUUUUACAAUUUAUUUGGGUCUUGGGCUUAAAUGUGAAUGAUAUAUGGAUCUUUAGUCAAUUUUUGGGCCCAUCCGGGCCCAAAACACAAUUCUCCCUAAAAAACUAUUUAUUAAAAUCAAUAAACUAAUAAAAACCAUUUAGAGAGUUUCAUAACUUAGUGUCGAAGCUAUUGUAAGAAAUAAGUAUUAUAUAAUGUAGAGUUUAGGUUUAAAGUCUACCUAAGAUUAAAUUUAAGUCUUAAGACAAAUUCACAUUCAAAACUAGGUUUUUAAGUUAGAAAAAUAGAUCUCUUAAACCAAUUAAAUGGUAAAAAAAAUUACAAAGAAAAUUUCUCUUGCUGGUUUCUUCAUCUUGAAAACUAACGGAAACAUAUAUCAAUAUUUGGUAUGAAAAUUCGUAACCUUAGAAACACAGCUUUGGGUCUUGCUGAGAAAAACAAAGCUUAUUUGCUCGUAGACCAUCCUGGUGGUCAUCAUACCGUGUGAGAACCGGGGAAGCAUCUUUUCUCGUAGACCGGCUUUUGUAGUCUUUCUUUAACAAUUACAAGUUGUCAGGAUUCCCUUCAUCCUCCUAUAUAAUAUUGUUUUUGGUCUUGUUCUGGUUGUAUCUCCGUGGAAGAAAGGAAGAUGAAUCAAGUUCCUUUGUAAGUAUCAAUGUCUCUGAUUCAUUUUUUGGUUCCUAGAAUCGAAUCCUCGCUUUGUUCUUGCUUAAUUUCUCCUUUUUCUGUUGGGUCUUUCACUGCAGGUUUAGCUCUGCACGGGAACUGGCAAAUUUGGUGCUGAGCUCCAAUCUAAUCGACUGUGCUUUGACCAAAAUUCUUGAACUUAACAGAGACCAAACAGCCUUGCCUGUUCAAUACAGACUUUUUCAACUGUCUUCCAAGUGCACAAUUGUAGCUUUUGUCUCUUCACCUGACUGCACUCAAUACCCUCUUCCUGGACAAGGAGAUUUAGAUCGGUCUCCUCUCUUUGACUUCCUCCGUACCGAAGAAUACCCGUCCGUCUCCAUUAACAGAGCAGCAUUAACCCUCUAUACCCCUCUCCAUGAUCAUCUCUCUGGACUAACAGAUGAGGUCAAAAUCUGAUACUUGUUUGAAUUUUCGUUUCCUUUUCGUUAACAAUUGUGAGACACGAAACAGCUUGACCAUGAGAUCUCCCUCAUGGAGUCGAACUACCUGAAGGAUAAGACGUCACACAUAUCCAUUUUCAUGGCAUCGUCACAUGACCCAUUGAUCGGUUGUGAUUCAACUCUUAACAGGAAUACAGUAGAACUGGUGUUGGUAUCUGUCUUUAGAUAAGCUUGCAUAUAUCUUGUCACUGAAAAAGGAAUGUUCAGAAGUGAGAUUAGUGGCAUUAUUCUGACAUGGAUUUCAUAUGGUUACUUGUUUUGCAGUUGACUCAGAUUGAAGGUCAGUUAAUCAUCACUGGGUACUCCCUGGGAGGAUCCGUUGCUUCUCUCUUCACCUUACGCCUGCUAGAUGGCAAUUUAUUAAAGCCCAAAUGCCGCCCCUUUUGUAUCACCUUUGGUUCACCCCUCAUAGGCGACUUUGGCCUCCAACACUCCAUAUGGAAUUCUUUCUUCCUGCAUGUAGUGUCUAACCAAGACCCAGUCCCCGGACUCUUCCUCCCAUCCGGCAGAUCUCCGCCCACAUCCUCCCAUUCACAAACUACCGGUUACAAGCCCUUCGGGACAUAUCUCUUGUGCUCUGAACUUGGUUGUGCUUGUUUUGACAACCCUGAUUUAAUUUUGGGAUUGCUUAAAGUCAUAUCAUCAGAGGUUGCCGGAGGAUUGCAGGAUGUUGAUUAUGGGGAGAUUUUAAGAAACCUCAAGGAGAGGGCAAUCUGCAAGGGACUGCCGCAGGUGGGUGAACGGUUUGCAGAUCCAUUUUCAGCUGGGAUCGUCAUGGAACUUGAGACAAUUGGAUUUAAUCAAACAAAGGUAAACAGCUUUCUCCCAUCUAAUGAUGUUAUGAAACAUGGUUUACACUUCACCAAAUACUGCAAUAACUGCCCUAUUCAGAUUUAUCUUCUUGUUCUUUGGGAUCUUCCAUAACUCGUCUCAUUUUUAAAAUUCAUGGCAGCUGCUGCAGCAUAACAUUGAUAUCAACGCUAUGAUAAGAACAAUGGAAGCUGAAACCAGAAGCCUAAUCCAGAAAAAUAAAGCUUCCGAUGCCAAGAAACUGAAUGACAUAAAAAGAGACAUGGCCCAUCUAGAAUGGUAUAAGAAGAAAUCGGAAAUGGGUUACUACGAUUGCUUCAAAAAUCAGGGGUCUAAAAGGGACAUCAACGUUGAACAGUUUAGGGGAAACCUCACAAUGUACUGGGAAGACAUGGUUGCACAAGUACAGAGGAAGCCCCAGAAGGAAGGAGCAACAUUUCGAACCCGUUGGCUCUAUGCAGGGACAGUUUAUAGGAGAAUGGUUGAACCACUGGACAUUGCUGCCUUCUACAGAGAGGG